rnacentral:rRNA from 1 species
CCAAAAACAUAGCCACUAGAUGAUAUUAGUGGUUUAACCUGCCCAAUGUUUUAAUUAAUGAAUGGCCGCGGUACCCUGACCGUGCUAAGGUAGCGUAAUCAGUUGGCUUUUAAAUGGAGUCAGGAAUGAAUGGGAAAACCGGGUCUAGCUGUCUCCUAGUUAUUCUUUUGAAUUUACUAUCCAAGUGAAAAAGCUUGGUACAGGCAAAGGGACGAGAAGACCCUUAGAAUUUUUAUUUAAAGAGAAUAAUGUUCUUUAUAAUUUUGUUGGGGCGAUAGAGAAAUAUUUAAAACUUUCUUUAAAUUACAAGCCGAUGUUUUUAAGAGAGAAUAAAUUACCUGAGGGAUAACAGCAUUAUUCUAAAAUUGAGUUUGUGACCUCGAUGUUGGACUAGGGAACUAACAGGCUAGCCGUUUGUUGUGUGGGUUCUGUUCGAACUAUAAUCCCU